rnacentral:rRNA from 1 species
AUGUGUCUCAGUGCUCAAAUGUCUUCUCUUCACACAACUUUUUCGAGUGCUUCCUUCCCUAUCAUCUUCUUUUCACUAUGGUUCCUUUUUCGUCGCUCCUCGGCGGGGAGAUGCUCCUCCUGGGUAGUUUCUUCUCUUAUGAAAUUCCUCCUUCAUCAUUCCUCCUCUACUAGUCUUCCACUCCUCUUCCCCUAUUUGUAUGGGAAAUUUUUGCCAUCAAAAACCUCAAGUUGGAGCGGUCUAAAGACCUUCAUGCCUCUAAGCUCAGGGGUGCCAGGGGAGCAGGGGGAAUGCGCCCCUGCCUCACCAUAUCUGGCGAUGGAGGGGCUCGGGUUAGACGAACACGUUGAGGUUGAGACAACAAGGUCAAUGGUCCAAAAUUUGGUUGUAAAGUGUUAA